CCCAUACUGUGUGUUUUGUGAAUAUUUGUGACCGUUGGAUCAGUAAUAUAUCCAAGGGUCAUGGAUAUUCGAAACAAGCUGACCUAUUCAGAAGGUAUCCCGUUUCGCCGUCACUCUCAGUUCGUCACCGUGCCUCCAGCGUCGGGCCUCCGCUUCGCUGUGCCACCACGACUCUCUCUCUUUGCGCGACUCUGCCUCAGUCUCCCUCUGUUCCACCGCGCCCCUCCACUCCACUGCUCCUCCAGUCCUCUUCAGCCUCCAGCCCACGGGUUCUCUCUCUACGGCAUGGACCCUUUCCAUCUCAGCCUCUCUCCUCGACGGCCCUUUCUAUACUCGACGGUGAUAGACUAACGGUGUCAAAUGGCCUUGAAGUCUCGAACUUGGUUGCUCUCUUCCUCAAGCAGCAAAGCAGAAAGCCAGAAACUGUUGGUUACACUCUGGAUUCGGUUUCUGGGUUUUCACUUACAUUCUUGGUUUCACUCUUCAAGCUUGGUUAGGUUCUGAAAUCAAGCUUGCUUGAGGCCGUCAUCUCAAAAAGUUUUAUCGCUAGUUGCUGAGUUGAAAACACUUAAGAAGAAUAAUGAAACACUGGAGAAGGAUAAAGAACAUCAAAGGAUCAAUCUUCUUUCUGUUGAAGAGGAGG